rnacentral:rRNA from 1 species
GACGAACGCUGGCGGCGCGCUUAACACAUGCAAGUCGAACGGAAAGGCCUGCUUUCCCUUGUGGCUUGCGGGUACUCGAGUGGCGAACGGGUGAGUAACACGUGAGUGAUCUGCCCCCAACUUGGGUAUAAGCCUGGGAAACUGGGUCUAAUUCCCGAUAGGACUGCAGGGUGGUGCCUGUGGUGGAAAACGAUUUUCUAGUGGUUGGGGAUGAGCUCGCGGCCUAUCAGCUUGUUGGUGGGGUAAUGGCGUACCAAGGCGGCGACGGGUAGCCGGCGUGAGGGGGUGGACCGCGACAGUGAGACUGAGCUGCGGCCCAGACUCCUACGCGCGGCAGCAGUGGGGAAGAUUGGACGAUGGGCGGAAGACUGAUGCAGCGACGCAGCGUGGGGGAUGACGGCCUUCGGGUUGUAAACUCCUUUCGGCCGCGAGGAAGCCACCUGGUUGGAAGGGUGGUGACGGUAGUGGUAGAAGAAGCACCGGCUAACUACGUG